GUGCUUGAUGAUGAAGCUAACCAAAUCAGCAUUGUAAACGCUUUUGCA
rnacentral:sRNA from 1 species